GGCUAACUCCGUGCCAGCAGCCGCGGUAAUACGGAGGGUGCGAGCGUUAAUCGGAAUUACUGGGCGUAAAGCGCAUGCAGGCGGCCUGUUAAGUCAGAUGUGAAAGCCCGGGGCUUAACCUCGGAAUUGCAUUUGAAACUGGCAGGCUAGAGUCUUGUAGAGGGGGGUAGGAAUUUCUAGGUGUAGCGGUGAAAUAGCGUAGAGAUCUGAAGGAAUACCAGUGGCGAAGGCGGCCCCUGGACAAAGACUGACGCUCAGAUGCGAAAGCGUGGGGAGCCAAACAGGAUUAGAUACCCCUGGUAG
rnacentral:rRNA from 1 species